CUUUAACUUUUGGCAAACUGCUGCUGCCAAUUCUGUUCCAUAUCUUCUGGAUCUACCAUCCCCCAAUUAAAAUUCCCCCUUUCAUUUUCAAAUCGCUGAAACAAGAGGAUGACAUAGGUUUCAACUCAAGUGGAUGAAAUCAACUGCGAUCAACUCUUCCUCUCCUCCGGUGGAAGCAACAGUUGCCGGCGACUAUCGCUUAGGUUGGACCCUUCUUCUCCAAAGGAAAAAACUGCAUAUAUAAGGAGUUUAGAGGAAUGUAUGUACUAUGUUUCAGUUUUGGAGAGCUGUGGAUGACGACUUUUUUUGGAGUAUCUUUCUGUUUCCAAUUUCAGAGAACAGAAAGGCUGAGGUCAUACAUUGAAGAGUUUAUUGGACUAGUGUUGUCUGCAAUCUAAGUUGCUUUCACAUUGCCCUCUACACCUCUACUUCGUAAAUGAUGGCCAAGUGAGGAGUUUUUGGCUCAAAAUGGUAGUGCACUUGGGGAUUACCUAAGGGUAAUCAACAUUCACGGAGAACAAGAAGAUGGUGAUAUUGCUAGUACUUCUACUACAAUUCAUCAGGGCAGUCAAUGCGUACAAGGAAGACAAAUGAAUGAGCUAAGGAUACAAAUUGCAAAUCAGAUGGCAGUAGAUUAGGGCUACCC